rnacentral:rRNA from 1 species
CCCUUAGAUGUCCGGGGCCGCACGCGCGCUACACUGAAGGAAUCAGCGUGGCUUUCUCCCUGACCCGAAAGGGUUGGGAAACCCAUUGAAUCUCCUUCGUGAUAGGGAUUGGGGCUUGAAAUUGUUCCCCAUGAACGAGGAAUUCCCAGUAAGCGCGAGUCAUAAGCUCGCGUUGAUUACGUCCCUGCCCUUUGUACACACCGCCCGUCGCUACUACCGAUUGAACGGUUUAGUGAGGGCCUCGGAUUGGUCUCGGCCCGCUCUUUACCGGGCGGCGCCGUUGGUCGAGAAGACGCUCGAACUUGAUCGUUUAGAGGAAGUAAAAGGCGUAACA